CAAAAAUGUCAAGAAUGAGGCAGCAGAGAGGGUAUAGGAUUUCUUUCAAAGGAAUUGGUAAGUGCAGGUUGUGCAAGGAGAUCAGCAUAUGCUCCUAAUCCUGCUGCCAAGGUUGUCGAUGAAUUUGCUAGUUAGUAGAUGCUACAUUCAUGAUUGGAGAUUUGCAAAUGGUAAAAGAACAAUUUGGAUUUUGAAGUUUUAGAUUUUCUAACAUAUAUUCGUAGCAUCCAAGAGCUUGAACUUGUAAGU